GCAGUGAUGCUUCAGUGGGAGAACGCUCACCUUCCGUGUGAGAGACCCAGGUUCGAUUCCCGGCCGAUGCA
rnacentral:tRNA from 1 species